rnacentral:tRNA from 1 species
GUGGGAAUAGCUCAGUGGUAGAGGGCAUGCUUAGCAUGCACGAGGUCCUGGGUUCAAUCCCCAGUACCUCCA